ACCGCACAAGCGGUGGAUGGUGUGGUUUAAUUCGAUGCAACGCGAAAACCUUACCCACCUUUGACAUGGCAGGAAUCCCGAAGAGAUUUGGGAGUGCUCGAAAGAGAACCUGCACACAGGUGCUGCAUGGCUGUCGUCAGCUCGUGUCGUGAGAUGUUGGGUUAACGUCCCGCAACGAGCCGCAACCCUUGCCAUUAGUUGCUACGAAAGGGCACUCUAAUGGGACUGCCGGUGACAAACCGGAGGAAGGUGGGGAUGACGUCAAGUCCUCAUGGCCCUUAUAGGUGGGGCUACACACGUCAUACAAUGGCCGGUACAGAGGGUAGCCAACCCGCGAGGGGGAGCCAAUCCCACAAAGCCGGUCGUAGUCCGGAUCGCAGUCUGCAACUCGACUGCGUGAAGUCGGAAUCGCUAGUAAUCGCGGAUCAGCAUGUCGCGGUGAAUACGUUCCCGGGUCCU
rnacentral:rRNA from 1 species